GCCCUUGUUUUUCAAAACAUGUCUUGAUGUAAUUUAAUAUUAAGUCUGGCCUGCUCAAUGAUUUUUAAUUUAAUAGCCGCAGUAUAUUAACUGUGCAAAGGUAGCAUAAUCAUUUGUCUUUUAAUUGAAGGCUUGUAUGAAUGGUUGAAUGAAGGGAUUACUUUCUUUAUAUUAAAUGUUGAAUUUAAUUUUUAAGUUAAAAAGCUUAAAUUUUUAAGGGGGACGAGAAGACCCUAUAGAAUUUUAUUUUAAUUGGUAAUUAAGGAGUUUGGAUAUUUAUCUGUUUAAUGAUCAAUUAAAAUUUUGUUGGGGUGACAGUGAGAUUAAUUUAACUCUCAUAUUUUAAAUAUUUAAUAAUUUUUAUGUUAAAGAUCCUUUUUUAAGGAUAAUUAGAUUAAAUUACCUUAGGGAUAACAGCGUUAUUUUUUCGGAGAGUUCUUAUUGAUGAAAAAGUUUGCGACCUCGAUGUUGGAUUAAAAUAAGAUUUAAGUGCAGAAGCUUAAUUCUAGGUCGUCGAA
rnacentral:rRNA from 1 species